AUAUGUCAUUAAUAAUAACCACAUAAUCAGAGUCUGCAAGUGAUUCCCGAACGAGCAACGGUAACGUACAUCAACGAAAAAUACAUAUACAAAGAAAACGCGACAGUCAACGUGAGAAGGUAUGGAAGGAAGAGUGGAUACUACAUCAACAUUGAAGCAAACAUUAAAAUGGAAUUUGGAAACAACGUAUCGCUCAGCUUAGUCUGGUUUGAGUUCCUUCACAAUGAGUACAAACGCAGUUUCGUUGAGAUGAAGUUCCCGAAGAUUUGCGACGCAUUGAACUCGGAUCCCUAUAUUGGCGGAGCAUUCAAACUUAUUGGUUUGAUUUGUCCAAUACCACCGGGAAUGCAAAAGCUGGACAAUAUAACGGUGCCCAUGCAUAACUUUCCUAAUGUCUGGCCCUUUGAAAAAUGUAAAGUUGAAGGAACACUGUUCCAGAAUAAGAAUCAGGAAGUCAUUGCUACUGCGGAUAUUUAUGCCCUUUUCAAACAAAGCGCUAAUGGAAAAU